UCAGGAAUAUUUUUUGUCUGUGGUAC
rnacentral:piRNA from 1 species